rnacentral:rRNA from 1 species
UAGCCUGUCGGUUUGACAAAGGCCCCGGAGGAAGCCACGGCUAACUUCGUGCCAGCAGCCGCGGUAAUACGAAGGUGGCAAGCGUUGUUCGGAAUUACUGGGCAUAAAGGGUGCGUAGGCGGAUCGGCAAGUCGGUGGUGAAAGCCCUCGGUUCAACCGAGGAAGUGCUGUCGAAACUGCUGGUCUCGAGGACAGGAGGGGAGAGUGGAAC